GACGAACGCUGGCGGCGUGCUUAACACAUGCAUUUCGAACGGAAAGGCCCUGCUUUUGUGGGGUGCUCGAGUGGCGAACGGGUGAGUAACACGUGAGUAACCUGCCCUUGACUUUGGGAUAACUUCAGGAAACUGGGGCUAAUACCGGAUAGGAGCUCCUGCUGCAUGGUGGGGGUUGGAAAGUUUCGGCGGUUGGGGAUGGACUCGCGGCUUAUCAGCUUGUUGGUGGGGUAGUGGCUUACCAAGGCUUUGACGGGUAGCCGGCCUGAGAGGGUGACCGGCCACAUUGGGACUGAGAUACGGCCCAGACUCCUACGGGAGGCAGCAGUGGGGAAUAUUGCACAAUGGGCGGAAGCCUGAUGCAGCAACGCCGCGUGCGGGAUGACGGCCUUCGGGUUGUAAACCGCUUCCGCCUGUGACGAAGCGUGAGUGACGGUAAUGGGUAAAGAAGCACCGGCUAACUACGUGCCAGCAGCCGCGGUGAUACGUAGGGUGCGAGCGUUGUCCGGAUUUAUUGGGCGUAAAGGGCUCGUAGGUGGUUGAUCGCGUCGGAAGUGUAAUCUUGGGGCUUAACCCUGAGCGUGCUUUCGAUACGGGUUGACUUGAGGAAGGUAGGGGAGAAUGGAAUUCCUGGUGGAGCGGUGGAAUGCGCAGAUAUCAGGAGGAACACCAGUGGCGAAGGCGGUUCUCUGGGCCUUUCCUGACGCUGAGGAGCGAAAGCGUGGGGAGCGAACAGGCUUAGAUACCCUGGUAGUCCACGCUGUAAACGGUGGGUACUAGGUGUGGGGUCCAUUCCACGGGUUCCGUGCCGUAGCUAACGCUUUAAGUACCCCGCCUGGGGAGUACGGCCGCAAGGCUAAAACUCAAAGGAAUUGACGGGGCCCCGCACAAGCGGCGGAGCAUGCGGAUUAAUUCGAUGCAACGCGUAGAACCUUACCUGGGUUUGACAUGGAUCGGGAGUGCUCAGAGAUGGGUGUGCCUCUUUUGGGGUCGGUUCACAGGUGGUGCAUGGCUGUCGUCAGCUCGUGUCGUGGGAUGUUGGGUUAAGUCCCGCAACGAGCGCAACCCUUGUUCACUGUUGCCAGCACGUUAUGGUGGGGACUCAGUGGAGACCGCCGGGGUCAACUCGGAGGAAGGUGGGGAUGACGUCAAGUCAUCAUGCCCCUUAUGUCCAGGGCUUCACGCAUGCUACAAUGGCUGGUACAGAGAGUGGCGAGCCUGUGAGGGUGAGCGAAUCUCGGAAAGCCGGUCUCAGUUCGGAUUGGGGUCUGCAACUCGACCCCAUGAAGUCGGAGUCGCUAGUAAUCGCAGAUCAGCAACGCUGCGGUGAAUACGUUCCCGGG
rnacentral:rRNA from 1 species